AAAAAGACAAACUCUGAGUUUCCGUGUCCAACUUUGAUUGUCCGUCUUAUAUGAAAUUUUUUUAUAAUUUAUAUUUUCAUUAUUGUUAGAUGAUAAAACAUGAUUAAUAUUUUAUGUGUGACUUGUCUUUUUAAUUUUUUUUCAUAAUUUUUUUAAAUAAGACGGAUGGUUAGACGUUGGACACGAAAACCAAUAUUUGUCUUUUUU
rfam:Oryza sativa Japonica Group DNA, chromosome 2, cultivar: Nipponbare, complete sequence.